rnacentral:rRNA from 1 species
GUGGGGAAUAUUGGGCAAUGGGGGAAACCCUGACCCAGCGACGCCGCGUGAGGGAAGAAGGCCUUAGGGUCGUAAACCUCUGUUGUGUGGGAAGAAGAGCGUGACGGUACCACACGAGGAAGUCCCGGCUAACUACGUGCCAGCAGCCGCGGUAAUACGUAGGGGACGAGCGUUGUCCGGAUUUACUGGGCGUAAAGGGCGCGUAGGCGGUCAUUUAAGUCAGCUGUGAAAUGGUUUGGCUUAACCGGAUCAUGCGGUUGAAACUGGAUGACUGGAGUGCUGGAGAGGCAAGUAGAAUUCCCAGUGUAGCGGUGAAAUGCGUAGAUAUUGGGAAGAACACCGGUGGCGAAGGCGACUUGCUGGCCAGCAACUGACGCUGAGGCGCGAAAGCCAGGGGAGCAAACGGGAUUAGAAACCCGGGUAGUCC